GAUGAACGCUGGCGGCGUGCCUAAUACAUGCAAGUCGAGCGAACGGACGAGAAGCUUGCUUUUCUGAUGUUAGCGGCGGACGGGUGAGUAACACGUGGAUAACCUACCUAUAAGACUGGGAUAACUUCGGGAAACCGGAGCUAAUACCGGAUAAUAUUUUGAACCGCAUGGUUCAAAAGUGAAAGACGGUCUUGCUGUCACUUAUAGAUGGAUCCGCGCUGCAUUAGCUAGUUGGUAAGGUAACGGCUUACCAAGGCAACGAUGCAUAGCCGACCUGAGAGGGUGAUCGGCCACCCUGGAACUGAGACACGGUCCCGCCUCCUAAGGGAGGCAGCCGUACGGAAUCUACAGCCAUGGGCGAAAGACUGACGGAGAAACGCCGCGUGAGUGAUGAAGGUCUUAGGAUCGUAAAACUCUGUUAUUAGGGAAGAACAUAUCUGUACGUCACUGUGAAUAUCUUGCCGGUACCUAACCAGAACGCCACGGCUAACUACGUG
rnacentral:rRNA from 1 species